rnacentral:rRNA from 1 species
AUUGAACGCUGGCGGCAUGCCUUACACAUGCAAGUCGAACGGCAGCACGGGGGCAACCCUGGUGGCGAGUGGCGAACGGGUGAGUAAUACAUCGGAAUGUACCCAGUAGUGGGGGAUAACUAGUCGAAAGAUUAGCUAAUACCGCAUACGCACUAUGGUGGAAAGCGGGGGAUCGCAAGACCUCGCGCUAUUGGAGCAGCCGAUGUCCGAUUAGGUAGUUGGUGGGGUAAAAGCCUACCAAGCCUGCGAUCGGUAACUGGUCUGAGAGGACGACCAGUCACACUGGGACUGAGACACGGCCCAGACUCCUACGGGAGGCAGCAGUGGGGAAUUUUGGACAAUGGGGGAAACCCUGAUCCAGCAAUGCCGCGUGUGUGACGAAGGCCUUCGGGUUGUAAAGCACUUUGGUCGGGAACGAACGGACGCUUUCUAAUACAGAGUGCUAAUGACGGUACCCGCAGAAUAAGCACCGGCUAACUACGUGCCAGCAGCCGCGGUAAACACGAG